GCCAACGUAGCUCAGUCGGUAGAGCAGCUGAUUCGUAACCAGCAGGCCGUCGGUUCAAUUCCGAUCGUUGGCUCCA
rnacentral:tRNA from 4 species